UGAGUGGCGAACUGGUGAGUAACACGUGGGAAACCUGCCCAGAAGCGGGGGAUAACACCUGGAAACAGAUGCUAAUACCGCAUAACAACUUGGACCGCAUGGUCCGAGCUUGAAAGAUGGCUUCGGCUAUCACUUUUGGAUGGUCCCGCGGCGUAUUAGCUAGAUGGUGGGGUAACGGCUCACCAUGGCAAUGAUACGUAGCCGACCUGAGAGGGUAAUCGGCCACAUUGGGACUGAGACACGGCCCAAACUCCUACGGGAGGCAGCAGUAGGGAAUCUUCCACAAUGGACGAAAGUCUGAUGGAGCAACGCCGCGUGAGUGAAGAAGGGUUUCGGCUCGUAAAACUCUGUUGUUAAAGAAGAACAUAUCUGAGAGUAACUGUUCAGGUAUUGACGGUAUUUAACCAGAAAGCCACGGCUAACUACGUGCCAGCAGCCGCGGUAAUACGUAGGUGGCAAGCGUUGUCCGGAUUUAUUGGGCGUAAAGCGAGCGCAGGCGGUUUUUUAAGUCUGAUGUGAAAGCCUUCGGCUCAACCGAAGAAGUGCAUCGGAAACUGGGAAACUUGAGUGCAGAAGAGGACAGUGGAACUCCAUGUGUAGCGGUGAAAUGCGUAGAUAUAUGGAAGAACACCAGUGGCGAAGGCGGCUGUCUGGUCUGUAACUGACGCUGAGGCUCGAAAGUAUGGGUAGCAAACAGGAUUAGAUACCCUGGUAGUCCAUACCGUAAACGAUGAAUGCUAAGUGUUGGAGGGUUUCCGCCCUUCAGUGCUGCAGCUAACGCAUUAAGCAUUCC
rnacentral:rRNA from 1 species